rnacentral:rRNA from 1 species
GAUGAACGCUGGCGGCGUGCUUAACACAUGCAAGUCGAACGGGGGUCAUCAGGCGGAAGUCUUCGGACGGAAGCUUUUUGACCCGAGUGGCGGACGGGUGAGUAACACGUGAGUAACCUGCCUUAUGCUGGGGAAUAACUGUGGGAAACCAUGGCUAAUACCGCAUGUUGUGUCUACAAGGCAUCUUGUGGGUAUGAAAGGAGCAAUCCGGCAGAAGAUGGGCUCGCGUCCGAUUAGGUAGUUGGUGGGGUAAAGGCCUACCAAGCCUGCGAUCGGUAGCCGGACUGAGAGGUCGAACGGCCACAUUGGGACUGAGACACGGCCCAGACUCCUACGGGAGGCAGCAGUGGGGAAUUUUGGGCAAUGGGGGCAACCCUGACCCAGCGACGCCGCGUGAAGGACGAAGGCCUUCGGGUUGUAAACUUCUUUGGGGAGGGACGAAGAUGACGGUACCUCCAGAACAAGCCACGGCUAACUACGUG